GAAGGGGGGGGGCAAAGCCCGUUCGGAGCCUGCGCUGGGCUCCUGGUACGAGGAGGAAAGUUUUUCAAAGCUCCCCUCCCCCUCCCCGACGUGCAUGUACAACUUGGUUGUGAUUAGAAGGCGGGGGAAGGGCCCGCGCUCCUUUGUGAGUGCUGGAAUUAUGCAAUGGGUGGUGACAUCAUUUGCUGCACCCACUUUGGGCUACUGCCCCCCCCUCCCCCAGCUCAGCCUGCACUGAACUUUUGCAAAACGGCCCGGGCGGGAGCUGUGUCUUUGCAGCAGGCUCCGCGAGUGCCCAGAUCCCCCGCCCCCCAGGAGCGGGGCACAUGGAUUGAAACACGACAGACUGACUUUUAAAAAAACAACCCGUAAACUUGUUUAUCUGCUCUUUGCAUCAGGAAAGCAACACGUUUGCAAAAGCUGAUCAGUUUCCCCUCUGAAGUUCUGAAAUGGAAGACUAGCCUGAAUGGAAAUAUUAAACUCUUAAUUUCUUUCCUACAUAUUUCCAUUUGUCCUUCAUCACCUCCUCGUCCUUUUUACAAUUUCAAUGCAGAGAACCACAGCUUGCAAAAUUGGAAUUGGACAUGUACUGUCAUAUUGUUUGGGCCGGGGGCAAAGACUCCAGCACAGGGAACUUUAAACUGAUCUCUAACUGGUCUCAUAACCAGUGAACACUUUAUUUCAACGUGCUUGCCUCAGAUGGACCUGCAAGAAUUGCAUGCCUCAGUACAUUGUUAAAAGAUAGAGGAAAAAUCCUUAGUCCUUACUCUGAUUAACUCCCAGUGACUAUAAUGAGUGGUUAGCCUAAGGGCCAAGUUUAAACCAAAUAAAGAUUCAGGAUUUGGAG